rnacentral:lncRNA from 1 species
CCCGCAGCCGCGCACCCCCGCACGCACCCGCGCACACGCGCGCCCGCUCUUCAGCUCUGUGUUAUCUCAAAUAAUUACCCUGCGCUUCUGGCUGUCCCCAGCGACUUCUGCUGCUAAAAAAGCUACUCAUUGUCGCCUCUCAAAACCAGCCUUGAUCACAGGGAGCUGAGCUCUUUGCCAGCACAGCCCUUGGCAAGGGCUGAUCUCUGAGCGCACGCCUAGUGCUACUGACGGGGCAGGGAUUUAACAGCUCACACAACCAAACCCUCAACUCAGCCUUGUCCUACACCCUCCUCCUCACACAGGGCUGGUGCAUCAUUGCAUGGGAGAUUCAUGCCCUGGCCAGGGAACUGAAUUUUUCUUUUUUCCCCAAGGAAGCAAAGACCAACUCAUCUUGCCAUGGGCAUUAAGGAUCCCAGGUGAACAGCACAAUACAGCCCCAUGUCAAGGUGUGAUUAACAUCAGCUUCCCACUCCUCAGGACAGACACACUGUGGGGGCCUGAAUACAUGUUGUAUUGUGAGAUCAGUGUGUGUCUAAGUUACUCCAAACGAGCUGCAGCUGCAGGGUCCUUAGUUGGGCAACAGCUGUAG